AGUGAACGCUGGCGGUAGGCCUAACACAUGCAAGUCGAACGGCAGCACAGUAAGAGCUUGCUCUUACGGGUGGCGAGUGGCGGACGGGUGAGGAAUACAUCGGAAUCUACUUUUUCGGGGGGGAUAACGUAGGGAAACUUACGCUAAUACCGCAUACGACCUACGGGUUAAAGCAGGGGAUCUUCGGACCUUGCGCGAUUGAAUGAGCCGAUGUCGGAUUAGCUAGUUGGCGGGGUAAAGGCCCACCAAGGCGACGAUCCGUAGCUGGUCUGAGAGGAUGAUCAGCCACACUGGAACUGAGACACGGUCCAGACUCCUACGGGAGGCAGCAGUGGGGAAUAUUGGACAAUGGGCGCAAGCCUGAUCCAGCCAUACCGCGUGGGUGAAGAAGGCCUUCGGGUUGUAAAGCCCUUUUGUUGGGAAAGAAAAGCAGCAGGUUAAUACCCCGCUGUUCUGACGGUACCCAAAGAAUAAGCACCGGCUAACUUCGUG
rnacentral:rRNA from 1 species